rnacentral:rRNA from 1 species
GUCUACAGCCAUACCACUCCGAACGUGCUUGAUCUCAUCUGAUCUCAGAAGCUAAGCAGGGUAGGGCCUGGUUAGUACUUGGAUGGGAGAAUGAACGUUAUUUGAUA